AUUGAACGCUGGCGGCAGGCCUAACACAUGCAAGUCGAGCGGGGUUUUCGGACCUAGCGGCGGACGGGUGAGUAAUGCGUAGGAAGCUGCCCGAUAGAGGGGGAUACCAGUUGGAAACGACUGUUAAUACCGCAUAAUGUCUACGGACCAAAGUGUGGGACCUUCGGGCCACAUGCUAGCGGAUGCGCCUACGUGGGAUUAGCUAGUUGGUGAGGCAAUGGCUCACCAAGGCGACGAUCUCUAGCUGGUUUGAGAGGAUGAUCAGCCACACUGGAACUGAGACACGGUCCAGACUCCUACGGGAGGCAGCAGUGGGGAAUAUUGGACAAUGGGCGCAAGCCUGAUCCAGCCAUGCCGCGUGUGUGAAGAAGGCCUUCGGGUUGUAAAGCACUUUCAGCGAGGAGGAAGGGUUAGUCGUUAAUAGCGGCUAAUUUUGACGUUACUCGCAGAAGAAGCACCGGCUAACUCUGUGCCAGCCGCCGCAGUAACAC
rnacentral:rRNA from 1 species